AUGCCAGCAGACAGCUUUUGCUGCUGUGAAGGGACAUCACCUUUUCGCUUUUUCCAAGAUGGCUCAAGAUUCAGUAGAUCUUUCUUGUGAUUAUCAGUUUUGGAUGCAGAAGCUUUCUGUAUGGGAUCAGGCUUCCACUUUGGAAACCCAGCAAGACACCUGUCUUCACCUGGCUCAGUUCCAGGAGUUCCUAAGAAAGAUGUAUGAAGCCUUGAAAGAGAUGGAUUCUAAUACAGUCAUUGAAAGAUUCCCCACAAUUGGUCAACUGUUGGCAAAAGCUUGUUGGAAUCCUUUUAUUUUAGCAUAUGAUGAAAGCCAAAAAAUUCUAAUAUGGUGCUUAUGUUGUCUAAUUAACAAAGAACCACAGAAUUCUGGACAAUCAAAACUUAACUCCUGGAUACAGGGUGUAUUAUCUCAUAUACUUUCAGCACUCAGAUUUGAUAAAGAAGUUGCUCUUUUCACUCAAGGUCUUGGGUAUGCACCUAUAGAUUACUAUCCUGGUUUGCUUAAAAAUAUGGUUUUAUCAUUAGCGUCUGAACUCAGAGAGAAUCAUCUUAAUGGAUUUAACACUCAAAGGCGAAUGGCUCCCGAGCGAGUGGCGUCCCUGUCACGAGUUUGUGUCCCACUUAUUACCCUGACAGAUGUUGACCCC
rnacentral:sRNA from 1 species